GCCAUCGGCCAUACUACGUUGAAUACGCCGGUUCUUGUCCGAUCACCGAAGCUAAACAACGUUGGGCCCGGGUAGUACUUGGAAGGGAGACCGCCUGGGAACACUGGGUGUCGUUGGCA
rnacentral:rRNA from 1 species